AUCAGACGCGAAUACCCGCUGAACUUAAGCAUAUCAC
rnacentral:rRNA from 1 species